CCUACGGGUGUCAGCAGUGAGGAAUAUUGGUCAAUGGGCUUACGCCUGAACCAGCCAAGUCGCGUGAGGGAUUAAGGCCCUGCGGGUCGUAAACCUCUUUUGCCGGGGAGCAGAGGUCCGGACGUGUCCGGGCCGGGAUAGUACCCGGAGACAAAGCAUCGGCUAACUCCGUGCCAGCAGCCGCGGUAAUACGGAGGAUGCGAGCGUUAUCCGGAUUUAUUGGGUUUAAAGGGUGCGUAGGCGGGCAUUUAAGCCGGCGGUCAAAUGUCGGGGCUCAACCCCGGCCUGCCGUCGGAACUGGGUGCCUUGAGUGGGCGAGAAGUAUGCGGAAUGCGUGGUGUAGCGGUGAAAUGCAUAGAUAUCACGCAGAACCCCGAUUGCGAAGGCAGCAUACCGGAGCCCGACUGACGCUGAGGCACGAAAGCGUGGGGAUCGAACAGGAUUAGAUACCCCUGUAGUC
rnacentral:rRNA from 1 species